rnacentral:rRNA from 1 species
UACGUAGGGGGCAAGCGUUGUCCGGAUUCAUUGGGCGUAAAGCGCGUGUAGGCGGCCAGGUAGGUCUGGUGUGAAAACUCGAGGCUCAACCUCGAGAGGUCAUCGGAAACCAUCUGGCUAGAGUCCGGGAGAGGAGAGUGGAAUUCCCGGUGUAGCGGUGAAAUGCGCAGAUAUCGGGAAGAACACCUAUGGCGAAGGCAGCUCUCUGGGACGGUACUGACGCUGAGACGCGAAAGCGUGGGGAGCGAACAGG